GAUCCUAGCUCAGGACGAACGCUGGCGGCGUGCCUGACACAUGCAAGUCGAACGGAGAAUUUUAUUUCGGUAGAAUUCUUAGUGGCGAACGGGUGAGUAACGCGUAGGCAACCUGCCCUUUAGACGGGGACAACAUUCCGAAAGGAGUGCUAAUACCGGAUGUGAUCAUCGUGCCGCAUGGCAGGAUGAAGAAAGAUGGCCUCUACAAGUAAGCUAUCGCUAAAGGAUGGG
rnacentral:rRNA from 1 species